rnacentral:rRNA from 1 species
AUUGAACGCUGGCGGCGUGCUUAACACAUGCAAGUCGAUCGGUAACGCGGGGGCAACCCUGGCGACGAGAGGCGGACGGGUGAGGAACGCUUGGGAAUCUGCCCUUCAGCGGGGGACAACACGGGGAAACUCGUGCUAAUACCGCAUACGCUCCACGGAGGAAAGCCGGGGACCGCAAGGCCUGGCACUGAAGGAUGAGCCCAAGUCGGAUUAGCUAGUUGGCGGGGUAACGGCCCACCAAGGCGACGAUCCGUAGCUGGUCUGAGAGGACGAUCAGCCACACUGGGGCUGAGAAACGGCCCAGACUCCUACGGGAGGCAGCAGUGGGGAAUAUUGGACAAUGGGGGAAACCCUGAUCCAGCGACGCCGCGUGGGUGAAGAAGGCCUGCGGGUUGUAAAGCCCUUUCGGUAGGGACGAAAGCUCUCGACCUAACACGUCGGGAGGUUGACUUAACCUACAAAAGAAGCACCGGCUAACUCUGUGCCAGCCGCCGCAGUAAAAC